rnacentral:rRNA from 1 species
GCCGCAGGGAAACCGAGUCUUAACUGGGCGUUACGUUGCAGGGUAUAGACCCGAAACCCGGUGAUCUAGCCAUGGGCAGGUUGAAGGUUGGGUAACACUAACUGGAGGACCGAACCGACUAAUGUUGAAAAAUUAGCGGAUGACUUGUGGCUGGGGGUGAAAGGCCAAUCAAACCGGGAGAUAGCUGGUUCUCCCCGAAAGCUAUUUAGGUAGCGCCUCGUGAACUCAUCUUCGGGGGUAGAGCACUGUUUCGGCUAGGGGGUCAUCCCGACUUACCAACCCGAUGCAAACUACGAAUACCGAAGAAUGUUAUCACGGGAGACACACGGCGGGUGCUAACGUCCGUCGUGAAGAGGGAAACAACCCAGACCGCCAGCUAAGGUCCCAAAGUCAUGGUUAAGUGGGAAACGAUGUGGGAAGGCACAGACAGCCAGGAUGUUGGCUUAGAAGCAGCCAUCAUUUAAAGAAAGCGUAAUAGCUCACUGGUCGAGUCGGCCUGCGCGGAAGAUGUAACG